GCGAAAGUGGCGGAAUUGGUAGACGCACUGGAUUUAGGUUCCAGCGCCGAAAGGCAUGGGGGUUCGAGUCCCUUCUUUCGCACCA
rnacentral:tRNA from 1 species